UCGGAUUGCAGGCUGCAACCCGCCUGUAUGAAGUUGGAAUCGCUAGUAAUCGCGGAUCAGCAUGCCGCGGUGAAUACGUUCCCGGGCCUUGUACACACCGCCCGUCACACCAUGAGAGUCGGGAACACCCGAAGUCCGUAGCCUAACCGCAAGGGGGCGCGGCCGAAGGUGGGUUCGAUAAUUGGGGUGAAGUCGUAACAAGGUAAC
rnacentral:rRNA from 1 species